rnacentral:rRNA from 1 species
GAUGAACGCUGGCGGCGUGCUUAACACAUGCAAGUCGAACGGGAAAUAUUUCAUUGAGACUUCGGUGGAUUUGAUUUAUUUCUAGUGGCGGACGGGUGAGUAACGCGUGGGUAACCUGCCUUAUACAGGGGGAUAACAGUCAGAAAUGGCUGCUAAUACUGCAUAAGCGCACAGAGCUGCAUGGCUCAGUGUGAAAAACUCCGGUGGUAUAAGAUGGACCCGCGUUGGAUUAGCUAGUUGGUGGGGUAACGGCCCACCAAGGCGACGAUCCAUAGCCGGCCUGAGAGGGUGAACGGCCACAUUGGGACUGAGACACGGACCAAACUCCUACGGAAGGGAGCAGUAGGGAAUAUUGCACGAUGGGGGAAGCUCUGAUGCAGCGACGCCGCGUAAAGGAAGAAGUAUCUCGGUAUGUAAACUUCUAUCAGCAGGGAAGAUAGUGACGGUACCUGACUAAGAAGCCCCGGCUAACUACGUG